AAUAUCUAGAUUAAAUCCGUAUAUUUAAUCUGCGUUGCAGUCGGAAUAAUUUCUCGACUUCUAGUAAAUAAUAGAAAUAAUAUUUCUAUCGCAUAUAAAUUAAUCACUUGACUUUGCUAAGUCAGUUAUUAAACUGGAUAAUAGAUUAUUGAAUGGCUCAAUAAUCCUCGUCGCGUUUUUCUCAUACGUAAAAAAAAAAUAUAUAUAUAAAGCUAAAAUAAUAACUCUGUUUCUGAAGAAAAAAAAAAAAAUCAGGACCAUAAACUGGAUUCAUUAAAAAAAAAUUGCAUUUACUAGUUUUAAUCAUAAAUAAAAGAGCGGGCUACUACAUACUACCCCUCUUAACAAAAAUUUCGUCCCGAAAUUUGCAUAUCUCUGCUAAAACAGUUCGGGGUAUUUUUCCUUCAUCUUGUCUUCAAGUUCCCGCGUAGCUUCUCUUGUCUGCGGUGUCUCCAUAAGAUUUUCACUGAUGUGAUUGAGACUGAUUUCGCAAGUGUCCAUGUAUUGCUGGCAAGGGGGUGCGGGUGUUCCCAAUUGCUGAACCUCGUUGUCUGUUGGGGCAUUGCGUGGAGUAGUGACCUUUUUGGCCACAAUUGUAACAACCGUUAGUUCCAGCUCGACAGAUACCCCUAUGCAUCUUACCACAAUUUGGGCAAGGUGAAAUUCUUCUCUGACUUUGGCUACCCCCAGUUGACUCGAGGUUAGUUCGUGCCUCGUACCUUGGUUGAAUAAACUGUUCAGCCCGUUCAUAUUCUUGCCAUACUCGCUUAUUAAUCGGAUUGAUAUUGUCUUCAUUGUUGUCCCACUUGCGCUUCCCUUUGAGAGUAUGCGACGCUGCUGGUGAGUCAUUUGGCGUCGAGAUCAAUGGUGGGGCUGACUUGUCUGACGGCAUUGCAGCUUCAAUGUCAAGUGCCCUGUUCAAAGACUCCGUGUAUGUGAGUCCUCCGUGGCUUGCUAGAGCCAUCCUAAUUUCGUGUCGCAGACCGGCACAAAAUUUCUCUGCCAUCUUCUCAUCUGUGUCCACUUGUUGUGGAGCAAACCUAGACAGGUUGCAGAAUUCCUUGUCGUAUUCAACCACAGAUUUCUUUCCUUGCUUCAACUCGUAGAACUCAGCUUCUUUCUUCUUCCUAUAGCUUUUCGGAAUAUAUUUAUCAUAUAAUCCUGUCUUAAAAUCUUCCCAAGUAUAACUUGCCCAUUGUUCAGGUGUCAGAAUUUUUCGUCGUGCUUCCCACCAGAAGUCAGCUGAUCCUGUUAGCUGGAAUGAGACGCAAGAUAGGCGCUCCUCAUCAGUACAACGUAGAAAGUUGAAAAUGCGUUCCAUUGCACGCACCCAAAUCUCAGCUUCAGCUGGUUCACUCGUUCCGUCAAACGUAGGUGGGUUUUGCCUUAAAAAGAGUUCUUCGACUCUCCUAGUCGGGGGCGGAGGGGAUGGGUUAUGUCCUCGAGCAUCUUGUGGUUCUUCGGGUACAGCGUUACGGUUUCUGCGAUUGUUAUUGUUUCUCGCAGGGCGUCCUCUCUUAGGCGGCAUUCUGAUAGCAGGGAUGUGUCAAUUAGUACACUCUAGCAUAAUCUAAUACAAGCCUCAAAAGAAUUCUUGUACAUGUUAACUUAUUCUAACUUGUAAACAAGUCAUAACUCCAAUGACAACAUUGAUGUAGUAAGCUCUAAGGGUCCUUAGCAUCUCAUAUCCAUGAGUCAUAUCAAUUCUUAAGCAUAUAAUAUCUCAUCAUCUAAAUUGGAUACUUAGGCAUAAGUCAUGGAGAUUCAUAGCGGCUAUAAAAUCACGAGCUUAAAAAUUAUUCUAUACGCAUCACUUAUCUUGCUGCCUUCACUAUAGCCACCAAAAGAUACAAUCUAAUUUCUUCUAUGUUUGCUUCUAUGUUCUGUCGUAGUGGUGAUCUCAUAACUUAAUAGCUCUAUGUUCAUAGGCAUACUUAAUCGCACUUGCGUAAUUCAUUUCAUUCAAUAACAACUUAACAUGGCUAUUGACAGUUACUCACUUUGCUAUUACGAUAAUUCUCACUUUUUGUAAACAUUAACUCAAAACUUGGAAUAGCUUACCAUUCUGCUUCGUUGAGUGUGAUGCGAUGAAGUGCUGAGCUUUGUCGAUUGAACUCUAGACACUUUAGUGAUCCAUUCUAUAACCAUUUAGCGCGAUCUUGGUGUCCAAAUUUGGACAUAUAUACAUGUGGAUACUACAUGAUCCAUGUCACGACCGGCCUUAAUUAGGAUAAUUAAUCCGGGAAAACCAUGGACUGGGGAAGGGAAAUUAGAAGACGGGUUUAGAAAGGGGGCAUAAAAGAAUACUCAAAAGCUUGAAUACGGUGAAAUAUUCCUUAAAAAGGAAAAAGGCAUAGUUCGCAUAAAAAGGGUACUCAAAGAACUUGUAUACGCAUUAUAUUCCUUAAAAGGAAAAAGGCAUCGUUAGGGGCUUGGCUAAAACAUUAUCAGAGUUUGCAACGGAAGGCGUAACUGAAAUAAUCAGUGUUUACAGCGGAAGCAUAACUGAGAUACAUGUAUGAAGACAUGUAUCCUUUCUGAGCCUACUUUAAGUUCGACAAAAACUCCACUCAGCAACAACACUUCAUCGCCCAUCACACUCAACCUGCACAAACAUAAACAUACGAAGGGCUAGUACAAGAGUACUAGUGGGCAGUUGCCAAGCAUAUAACAUAAAUCAACAACAAAACACAACUUCGCAUAAGAGGCAUAAGUUUCUUUCAAAUCCUUUGCUCAUUAAACAUUUCCAUAUUCAUAAACAGCAUGAGCGCAUUCUUCAUCAUUAACAAUCAUCAACACGCAUCGUGUCGUGGAGAAGGCCUUCCCCAACGAACACGGGCAUCGCGCCGUGAGGGGAGCCUCCCUCAGCGGUCACGCAUCGUACUAUUGAGGGAGGCCUCCCCCAAUAGACGCUGUAACACUGGCAUACUGGCAUACUGGCAUCGCGCCGCUAGGGAGGCCUCCCUCAGCGGACACGGGCAUCGCGCCGUGAGGAAAGGCCCUCCUCAGCGGACACGGCAUCGUACUGUUGAGGGAGGCCUCCCCCAACAGACGCAAGCAUCAACAAGCAUAAACUAUCAGCGUAAAGCAUUCAAGCGUAAAUAAGCGUAAUCAAGCGUAAAUCAUUUAGCGUAAACAUAAUAAAGCUACCACUUAGCAUCCAAUAGCAUACGCAUACUAUAGCAUUUUAUUUUACGCGUAAGAAAUUGCCCACCUGAUAGCAAAGUUUUGCUAAGGUACUGUGACUCUUGAUAGUUCUUACUCUCGCGCUUGACCUUAAUCACGAGAAUUAAAAUAAGACAUUGCUCAGGAAAUUCUCAAUUAAUGAGAAAGCUAAUUUAAUUGCAUGAAUCUUAUGCAUGACUAAUCUUCGAGCGAUAAUCGGGAAUUCUACUAUUAAUCCCGUUAUAGAUUUAACUAAUCUCUCUACGCGGUGAAUAAACUGUAUCUUCCUUCCUCAUGAAAUUCUAAUCGUAAAUAAAAUAACUCGCUUGUAUGAUAUAAAGGAACUAUCGGCUUACAGUACCGUAAGAAUUUAUGGGCUUUUUGAAGUAGAAAUAUUACUAGGUAACUCAAUAAUUAAUGGCUCAAAAAGUAGCAAUUAUUAAAUAAACCAGUGGCUUAAGAAAUAAAUAAUGUGCUUUAAAGUCGAAUCCAAAAACAUAUAAUAAACUGGGCGGCUCAUUUACUGAAUACGAAUCGGCUCACCCACUGAUAAAUAAUUGGGCUCCAUCAAAAUAAUUACUGCAAGGCUUAAAUUAAGAAGUAGCUUCAGCCCAAGUGAUGAUAGAAAUUAAUGUGGGCUGGAAAGAAUAAAUCUUAGUCCAAUAGGCAAUUUAAUCGGCCCAAAUGAUGAAUUAAUGGCCAACGAAAUAUAAAUGGGAUUAGAAUAAUAGCCCAUCGUAAAAUAAGCAUCAGCCCAAUCUUUAAAAUAAUUCAAGCCCAAUAGAAAUAAUGGGAAUGGCCAUUUAAAUAAAAGACUGGCCCAAUUCGAAUUUAAAUAUGAAAGCCCAAGCAAUUAAAAUUGGAAGCCCAAUUUCAUUAAAAACAAGCUCAAAAUUCGGCCCAAACUUAAAUAAAAAAAAGCCCAAAUGAUUAAAAAUAGGGUAAGCCCAAAAUAUAGCCCAAUCUCUCUCUCUCUUUCUAAACUCUCGAUCUCUCUCUCAUUCUCAAGGGGACCGCUCUUCCUUCUUCUUCAAAGCCGAUCUCUCUCUCGCUCAAAAUCCAAUCGAUCUCUCUCUUUUGAUUCACGGCUGCCUCGUGAGCUCCGCCGCUGCUCCUGCUGUGAAUCCGACGGUCGGCCGCCGUUCUCAGCUUCACGAUCCCUCUCCUCUCUCAAAAACUCGAACCAGACGCCGCCCAGCCCCUUCCUCUCCAGCCUGUUCGCGCGGCGCUCUCCAAAAUCCAUUCGGUUCCACCUUCUCCGGUCGUCCCGUCGUCGUCUGCUCCGAUCAGCUUCGAUCGGCGAUGCAUCAACCACCGGCGUUGUUCUCUCUCUUCAUCGCAGAUCGAGCCUUAGUCUCAUCUGGUAAGUCGCCGUUGUCGCACCUCCGUCUGGAAUCCGGCGAGCGGUCGGCGCCGGUCGUGGCCAUCUCUCUCUACCCGUCUGAAAUCCGACGGGCUGCUGUCGUCUGGGAGCGGUGCUGUCCUCUUUAUCGAGCCAUGGAUCUGAAAUAUCAUCGUUGCCGCGCCCUAUCGAAAUUGGGCGGACGGUCGCCGUCUGGGAGCGGCGUUGCUCCGGCCUGGAGUCGGUCGGCCUCCUCUUUCUUUCCGUCUUGUCUCGCCUUUCGUCAUGGCCGAGAGAGAAGCCUUAACUAUCCUGUUCUGGAAAUCAGCUGGUCCCUGCCGUUGCUUCUUCGAAACCGGCGAGUGGUGGGGAGAAGCUUGCUACCUCCGACGAUUCCCUCGUCCCGACGUCGACAGAGGCUCCGUCGUCGCUUCGUCUUCCGAGUCAGAGCAGGGCAGUCGCCCACUCCUUUAUAAAGCUAAGCUUCCUUCUUCUACCUUCAUCCUUAUCGUAGUCUCUUCUUUACUAUGAAAAUGGCGUGUGGUUUGAAGUUUGGGAUUUCACUGAUUUGUCUUAGUCACUCAAAUAGAGGUAGUCUAGGAAUUCAUCCUCUACAAUCUUAUAUUCUUAGGGUGCAAAAGUGCAGCCUGUUCUUGCCUUGCAUAAGAGUUGUUUUAAGCACUAUUGAGUGCUCAUACUAUUGUCAUUCACAUGAGAUCUAGUUGGUGUAUUUGCUAAGUUCAAGAUGUCUAUAAGGUCUUCUAUAUUUAAAACUGAUCAUGCUCAUGCUUUGAUAUGAAUGCUCACUGGUAUGAAAAAUAGGAUAGCAUGAUUACCUUGAAUAUGUUUGAACUGAUUGCUUGCUUUGGUGUUGAAAGAAAUGUGUAAUAAUCUUAAUGUUUGGUUGGCUGUUGUUGAGGUACUAGAUGAACUGGAAUAGCUCUGAAAUAAUUCAAGAUUGCUGUUCUUGUAUUAAUGCGGUGGAAUAUGGAAAAAGGUGAAGAAAUUGAACCAAGCUUACCUCUGAAAUUUUUGGCAGCAGGGCAAUGAAUGCAGAUUUCUCCUGUUAUUUGGUGGAUUCCCUUGUGAAGAUUGGGAGUGAAAAUGGUACGCGUGGGCUGAAGAUGUAGGCUAAGAAGAGUAGUGUGCACUUGGUGGUGCACUUAGUGUGGUGGGGAAAAAGGAGUGUAGUUGGUGGAGUGGAGUUGGUGGUUGAAGAAGUGGGGAGCAAAGGGUGGUGGGAAAAAAAAAAAAUGUAGUGGAGGAUUAAUGAUGUAUAUUCUAUGUCUCGGUGAUUAUGUAACUGUAAUAAAAUACUGGCUUCGAUUUUCAAUCAUCGCAUUUCUGUAUCUUGCUUGAUAUCUUUUUUUCCUUGCCUACUAACUUGAUAAACUGUAAUAUAACUUAAAUUAAAUCCGUAGAUUUAAUCUGCGUUGCAGUCGGAAUAAUUCCUCGACUUCUAGUAGCUCUAAUAAAAUAUAACUGCUUCUGUUUUUCGAUUAAUAAAUAACAUGACUUUGCUAAGUCAGUUAUAACUUGGAAAUAAUAAUUAUUGAAUAGCUCAAUAAUCCUCUCGUCGUUUUUCUCAUCGUUACAAAGUAUAAAGCUAAAAUAAUAACUCCGUUCUGAUAAAAAAAAAUCAGGACCAUAAACUGGAUUCA
rnacentral:lncRNA from 1 species